UAUUGGACAAUGGCCGAGAGGCUGAUCCAGCCAUGCCGCGUGCAGGAUGACUGCCCUAUGGGUUGUAAACUGCUUUUAUACGGGAAGAAACCCCCCCACGUGUGGGGGGCUGACGGUACCGUAAGAAUAAGGACCGGCUAACUCCGUUCCAGCAGCCGCGGUAAUACGGAGGGUCCGAGCGUUAUCCGGAAUCAUUGGGUUUAAAGGGUCCGUAGGCGGGCCGUUAAGUCAGGGGUGAAAGUCUGCGGCUCAACCGUAGAAUUGCCUUUGAUACUGGCGGUCUUGAGUCAUGGUGGGGUUGCCGGAACAUGUGGUGUAGCGGUGAAAUGCAUAGAUAUCACAUAGAACACCGAUCGCGAAGGCAGGUGACCAACCAUGAACUGACGCUGAUGGACGAAAGCGUGGGUAGCGAACGGG
rnacentral:rRNA from 1 species